AACAGAGGACGUGAACCGAUAAGGUGGAAACGGAUAGAGUCGACGUAUCUUGCUUGUAUUCAGCCAAGAGGGUGUUUCAUUCUGGUUAGUUGGUCCCGUUUUGGGCUGGCUGGUUAGUUUUGUUGCAUUCUCCGGGUGCAUUUACAAGUAGUGUGCGCUGAAAACCACAUGAAGGCACUGGAUGCGUAUUUUGAGGUCUCCAGCUUAGGAGAAACCCGGAUAUUAGUAAGGUUGAUCUUUGUGUGUUGAUUGGUCAGUCCACGUUAGGCUGAAUCAUCGGCUGAGGUUUGUCAUUGCUUUGGUCGCAUGCGACCUGGCUUUGAUGGGCUUUAGGUGGUGAGGAGGCCCCGUGGCUGCUUUCAGUGUAAAAGUCGAUCAUCUCUCCGACCCGUCUAUGAAACACGGACCAAGGAGUUUAGCAAGUGUGCGAGUCAUUGAGUGUAAAACUCAAAGGCACAAUGAAAGUAAAGGUUUCGCUUGACGAACUUAUAUGUGACCCUGCUAACUUCGGUUAGUGGGAGCAGCAUAGCCCCGUCCCAACUGCUUGCAGUGAGGCGGAGGAAGAGCAUACUUGCUGAGACCCGAAAGAUGGUGAACUAUGCCUGAGCAGGACGAAGCCAGAGGAAACUCUGGUGGAAGUCCGGAGCGGUUCUGACGUGCAAAUCGAUCGUCUGACUUGGGUAUAGGGGCGAAAGACUAAUCGAACCAUCUAGUACUGGG
rnacentral:rRNA from 1 species